AUGGUAGGAUAGAGGCCUACCAUGGUGGUAACGGGUAACGGGGUGUUAGGGCACGACACCGGAGAGGGAGCCUGAGAAACGGCUACCACAUCCAAGGAUGGCAGCAGGCGCGCAAAUUACCCAAUCCCGACACGGGGAGGUAGUGACAAUAAAUAACAAUACGGGGUUCUUUAGGAUCUCGUAAUUGGAAUGAGUACAAUUUAAAUCUCUUAACGAGGAACAAUUGGAGGGCAAGUCUGGUGCCAGCAGCCGCGGUAAUUCCAGCUCCAAUAGCGUAUAUNAAAGUUGUUGCAGUUAAAAAGCUCGUAGUUGAAUUUCGGGGUCAGUAGGUCGGUCGUGCCACUGGUAUGAACUGGUUUUACUGAUUCCUCCCUCUUGAAGAACUGUAAUGCCAUUAAUUUGGUGUUGCAGGGAAUCAGGACUGUUACUUUGAAAAAAUUAGAGUGUUUAAAGCAGGCUUUAGCUUGAAUACAUUAGCAUGGAAUAAUGAAAUAGGACGUUUGAUCCUAUUUUGUUGGUUUCUAGGAUUGACGUAAUGAUUAAUAGGGAUAGUUGGGGGCAUUAGUAUUCAAUUGUCAGAGGUGAAAUUCUUGGAUUUAUUGAAGACUAACUACUGCGAAAGCAUUUGCCAAGGAUGUUUUCAUUAAUCAAGAACGAAAGUUAGGGGAUCGAAGACGAUCAGAUACCGUCGUAGUCUUAACCAUAAACUAUGCCGACUAGGGAUCGGAUGAUGUUAAUUUUUUAAUGACUCAUUCGGCGCCUUACGGGAAACCAAAGUGUUUGGG
rnacentral:rRNA from 1 species